GCGAGCGUUAUCCGGAUUUAUUGGGUUUAAAGGGAGCGCAGACGGGAGAUUAAGUCAGUUGUGAAAGUUUGCGGCUCAACCGUAAAAUUGCAGUUGAUACUGGUUUCCUUGAGUGCAGUUGAGGCAGGCGGAAUUCGUGGUGUAGCGGUGAAAUGCUUAGAUAUCACGAAGAACCCCGAUUGCGAAGGCAGCUUGCUAAACUGUAACUGACGUUCAUGCUCGAAAGUGUGGGUAUCAAACAGGAUUAGAUACCCUGGUAGUCCACACGGUAAACGAUGGAUACUCGCUGUUGGCGAUAUACUGUCAGUCGGCCUAAGCGAAAGCAUUAAGUAUCCCACCUGGGGAGUACGCCGGCAACGGUGAAACUCAAAGGAAUUGACGGGGCCCGCACAAGCGGAGGAACAUGUGGUUUAAUUCGAUGAUACGCGAGGAACCUUUACCCGGGCUUAAAUUGCAGACGAAUUACUUGGAAACAGGUAAGCCGCAAGGCGUCUGUGAAGGUGCUGCAUGGUUGUCGUCAGCUCGUGCCGUGAGGUUGCGGUUACG
rnacentral:rRNA from 1 species